AAGAAGAUCGUGGCAUAAUAGUCCUUGUACUGCUCAUGUUCUCUUAACCAAGAAUCUCCCAAGAGAUCUCCAAGUUUUGUUCCUUUUAAGUGCUUGUACAAAUGAUAGUGGUUGUUCAUAGCGUUAGAUAGGAUGGUGUCUUCGUAAGCCUUUGUCCAAGUCUCCACAUUGAGCUCAAUGGCUUUUAUUACAUUCAGUACCUCAGUAACAAGGAGCCUCUCCUGAAACCUCUCAUGCUUCCAACUUCGAUGAAUGAUCAGAACCUGGGUCAGAAUGGGCUUAUAGUCAUCCCCAAGAAGCUUAUUA
rnacentral:misc_RNA from 1 species